rnacentral:rRNA from 1 species
CGAAUACUGCAGUCGAGCGGACAGAUGGGAGCUUGCUCCCUGAUGUUAGCGGCGGACGGGUGAGUAACACGUGGGUAACCUGCCUGUAAGACUGGGAUAACUCCGGGAAACCGGGGCUAAUACCGGAUGGUUGUUUGAACCGCAUGGUUCAGACAUAAAAGGUGGCUUCGGCUACCACUUACAGAUGGACCCGCGGCGCAUUAGCUAGUUGGUGAGGUAACGGCUCACCAAGGCGACGAUGCGUAGCCGACCUGAGAGGGUGAUC